UGUAAAGCGCACGCUCAGUACGAUUCUGAAUCAGUUCAAAAUUCUGCUGGAACAAAGCUAUUAUAGAUAUGUAUUUAUACAGAUCUGGUGGAGUCUCACAGUUGCUACUCUAAGCAGCAGAUGAAAGCAUACAAAAGCCUUCAGGCACAUAAAUAUUUUACAGCUGGAUUUGUUUUGAAUGGAGUAAAAAUUGUUAAUGAUUUCCUGAUUUCCAUAUUAUUGUUGGAAAGGUGAAGCAUUUCCAAAAAGCUAAUGCUAAACGACUAAAUGCUUGGGUGGGGUGAUAGCCAGUUCUGAUGACAUAGCAAAUGCACAUUGUAUGCGUAUGGCCGGUAAUAGUGAAGUCUGCAGCCAUAUUGCAGCAAUCCUAUUUUUAGCUGAGUAUGCCCAGAGCAAGACAGACGAAGAAGAACCCAAUGCAUGUACAUAUGUUACAGCUACAUGGUUUGGAGAUAGCAACAUAUGCAUUCUCUGAUGAAAAACUAAUGAGUUUUGAAACUGUUCGGUCAGAGUGCUUGUUGAGCUCACUAAACGAACUGAAAUAUAAGAAGUCUUUGGCAUUGUGUUGCAGCGAUAUGAAAAUGGUUAUUCAUUUUUAAUUAUAAUGUACUUCUUCAUCAUGAGUAAUUAUGUAUUGGUCUUUUAGAUGUGUAUUUAUUUUUGUAAUUAGUAUCAACUUGUAAUGAUAAUAUACAUUUAUCGUUUAAGGUACGACUAUGUUUUGACUCUAAAAUAAAUGUUUUAAAAAUCGAA
rnacentral:lncRNA from 1 species